rnacentral:rRNA from 1 species
AGAACGAACGCUGGCGGCAGGCCUCAAACAUGCAAGUCUAGGGGGUGUAGCAAUACAUCACCGGCGGACGGGUGCGUAACGCGUGGGAAUGUACCUAUUGGUUCGGAACAACUGUGGGAAACUGCAGCUAAUACCGAAUGUGCCCGUAAGGGGAAAGAUUUAUCGCCAAUAGAUCAGCCCGCGUAGGAUUAGCUAGUUGGUGAGGUAAUGGCUCACCAAGGCUCCGAUCCUUAGCUGUUCUGAGAGGAAGAUCAGCCACACUGGGACUGAGACACGGCCCAGACUCCUACGGGAGGCAGCAGUUGGGAAUCUUGGACAAUGGGGGAAACCCUGGAUCCAGCCAUGCCGCGUGAGUGAUGAAGGCCUUCGGGUUGUAAAACUCUUUCGCGCACGACGAUAAUGACGGUAGUGCGAGAAGAAGCUCCGGCUAACUUCGCGCCAGCAGCCGC